GACGAACGCUGGCGGCGUGCUUAACACAUGCAAGUCGAACGCUGAAGCACCAGCUUGCUGGUGUGGAUGAGUGGCGAACGGGUGAGUAAUACGUGAGUAACCUGCCCUUGACUCUGGGAUAAGCACGGGAAACUGGGUCUAAUACUGGAUGCUACAUGUCACCGCAUGGUGGUGUGUGGAAAGGGUUUACUGGUCUUGGAUGGGCUCACGGCCUAUCAGCUUGUUGGUGAGGUAAUGGCUCACCAAGGCGACGACGGGUAGCCGGCCUGAGAGGGUGACCGGCCACACUGGGACUGAGACACGGCCCAGACUCCUACGGGAGGCAGCAGUGGGGAAUAUUGCACAAUGGGCGAAAGCCUGAUGCAGCGACGCCGCGUGAGGGAUGACGGCCUUCGGGUUGUAAACCUCUUUCAGCAGGGAAGAAGCCACAAGUGACGGUACCUGCAGAAGAAGCGCCGGCUAACUACGUG
rnacentral:rRNA from 1 species